CAUAAACUCUGAUGAUGACCUUGCUCGGGAAACCAUUUUGAGCCCUUUAAUGCCAGCAACAACUAUUGAUACGGCGUUGGAGAAGGCAAAUGUAGCCUAUGAGAAUGAAUCUCAGCAAGAGUGUGAGGACAUUCUUGAUUCUGUUCACGAUUGUUAUUUUGAAGAAUUAGACAGAAAGACUUCUCAGUCCAUCAGCAACGAUCAUUCAUGCAGAAGUUCAACGAGUACGAUGAUUCCUCAG
rnacentral:misc_RNA from 1 species